GACGAACGCUGGCGGCGUGCCUAAUACAUGCAAGUCGAACGCUUCUUUUUCCACCGGAGCUUGCUCCACCGGAAAAAAAAGAGUGGCGAACGGGUGAGUAACACGUGGGUAACCUGCCCAGCAGAAGGGGAUAACACUUGGAAACAGGUGCUAAUACCGUAUAACAAUCGAAACCGCAUGGUUUUGAUUUGAAAGGCGCUUUCGGGUGUCGCUGAUGGAUGGACCCGCGGUGCAUUAGCUAGUUGGUGAGGUAACGGCUCACCAAGGCCACGAUGCAUAGCCGACCUGAGAGGGUGAUCGGCCACAUUGGGACUGAGACACGGCCCAAACUCCUACGGGAGGCAGCAGUAGGGAAUCUUCGGCAAUGGACGAAAGUCUGACCGAGCAACGCCGCGUGAGUGAAGAAGGUUUUCGGAUCGUAAAACUCUGUUGUUAGAGAAGAACAAGGAUGAGAGUAACCGUUCAUCCCUUGACGGUAUCUAACCAGAAAGCCACGGCUAACUACGUGCCAGCCGCCGCUGUAA
rnacentral:rRNA from 1 species